UAAUACGAAGGGGGCUAGCGUUGCUCGGAAUGACUGGGCGUAAAGGGCGCGUAGGCGGAUGUUACAGUCAGGCGUGAAAUUCCUGGGCUCAACCUGGGGGCUGCGUUUGAUACGUGAUGUCUGGAGUUCGGAAGAGGGUCGUGGAAUUCCCAGUGUAGAGGUGAAAUUCGUAGAUAUUGGGAAGAACACCGGUGGCGAAGGCGGCGACCUGGUCCUGGACUGACGCUGAGGCGCGAAAGCGUGGGGAGCAAACAGGAUUAGAUACCCUGGUAGUCCACGCUGUAAACGAUGUGUGCUGGAUGUUGGGUGACCUAGUCACUCAGUGUCGUAGCUAACGCGAUAAGCACACCGCCUGGGGAGUACGGCCGCAAGGUUG
rnacentral:rRNA from 1 species